rnacentral:rRNA from 1 species
GACGAACGCUGGCGGCGUGCCUAAUACAUGCAAGUAGGACGCAGUUGCGAACGGGUGAGUAACGCGUAGGUAACUACCUAUUACACGGGGAUAACUAUUGGAAACGAUAGCUAAUACCGCAUACUAGUAGAUGGACCUGCGUUGUAUUAGCUAGUAGAUAGGGUAAUGGCCUACCUAGGCAACGAUACAUAGGCGACCGGGUGGGGGUAGCGGCCACACUGGGACUUACACACGGCCCAGACUCCAACGGGAGGCAGCAGUAUGGAAGCUUCGGCAAUGGAGGGAAGCCUGACCGAGCAACGCGGCGGUAGUGAAGAAGGUUUUCGGAUCGUAAAGCUCUGUUGUUAAGGAAGCGGUACUUAACCAGAAAGGGACGGCUAACUACGUACCAGCAGCCGCGGUAAUAC